UACGGAGGGUGCAAGCGUUAUCCGGAUUCACUGGGUUUAAAGGGUGCGUAGGCGGGCAGGUAAGUCCGUGGUGAAAUCUCUGAGCUUAACUCAGAAACUGCCAUGGAUACUAUUUGUCUUGAAUAUUGUGGAGGUAAGCGGAAUAUGUCAUGUAGCGGUGAAAUGCUUAGAUAUGACAUAGAACACCAAUUGCGAAGGCAGCUUACUACUAAUGGAUUGACGCUGAUGGACGAAAGCGUGGGGAGCGAACAGG
rnacentral:rRNA from 1 species